rnacentral:misc_RNA from 1 species
GCAUGCAAAUCUAAGGCGCAUACAGAAAUCGCAAAAUCAAGAGAAUAAGAAUAAUACAAGAUUUAAGAGAAAAAGUUUCAAGAGUAUGAUACAAUCGCUCAGAACUCACAAACUCAGAACUCACAAACUCUGACGUGUUUUUUGAAUAUCUCACAAUACUCUACAACAAAGGGUACAAAUUUCACUUUUUAUACCAAUCAGAUAGCAACGCGAAACUUUCGGAUUGGGUCACAAUUU